AGUGAACGCUGGCGGUAGGCCUAACACAUGCAAGUCGAACGGCAGCACAGUAAGAGCUUGCUCUUACGGGUGGCGAGUGGCGGACGGGUGAGGAAUACAUCGGAAUCUACUUUUUCGUGGGGGAUAACGUAGGGAAACUUACGCUAAUACCGCAUACGACCUACGGGUGAAAGCAGGGGAUCUUCGGACCUUGCGCGAUUGAAUGGGCCGAUGUCGGACUAGCUAGUUGGCGGGGUAAAGGCCCACCAAGGCGACGAUCCGUAGCUGGUCUGAGAGGAUGAUCAGCCACACUGGAACUGAGACGCGGUCCAGAGUCCUACGGGAGGCAGCAGUGGGGAAUAUGGGGCAAUGGGCGCAAGCCUGAUCCAGCCAUACCGCGUGGGUGAAGAAGGCCUUCGGGUUGUAAAGCCCUUUUGUUGGGAAAGAAAAGCAGCAGGUUAAUACCCCGCUGUUCUGACGGUACCCAAAAAAUAAGCACCGGCUAACUUCGUG
rnacentral:rRNA from 1 species